UACAGAGGGUGCGAGCGUUAAUCGGAAUUACUGGGCGUAAAGCGUGCGUAGACGGCUAUCUAAGUCGGGUGUGAAAGCCCCGGGCUCAACCUGGGAAUUGCACUCGAGACUGAAUAGCUAGGGUACGGUAGAGGGAAGCGGAAUUUCCGGUGUAGCGGUGAAAUGCGUAGAUAUCGGAAGGAACAUCAGUGGCGAAAGCGGCUUCCUGGACCAGUACCGACGUUCAGGCACGAAAGCGUGGGGAGCAAACAGG
rnacentral:rRNA from 1 species